UAGGGAAUCUUCCGCAAUGGGCGAAAGCCUGACGGAGCAACGCCGCGUGAGUGAAGAAGGAUUUCGGUUCGUAAAGCUCUGUUGUUAGGGAAGAAUGAUUGUGUAGUAACUACACACAGUAGAGACGGUACCUAACCAGAAAGCCACGGCUAACUACGUGCCAGCAGCCGCGGUAAUACGUAGGUGGCAAGCGUUGUCCGGAAUUAUUGGGCGUAAAGCGCGCGCAGGUGGUUUAAUAAGUCUGAUGUGAAAGCCCACGGCUCAACCGUGGAGGGUCAUUGGAAACUGUUAAACUUGAGUGCAGGAGAGAAAAGUGGAAUUCCUAGUGUAGCGGUGAAAUGCGUAGAGAUUAGGAGGAACACCAGUGGCGAAGGCGGCUUUUUGGCCUGUAACUGACACUGAGGCGCGAAAGCGUGGGGAGCAAACAGGAUUAGAUACCCUGGUAGUCCACGCCGUAAACGAUGAGUGCUAAGUGUUGGUCUCAUAAGAGAUCAGUGCUGCAGCUAACGCAUUAAGCACUCCGCCUGGGGAGUACGACCGCAAGGUUG
rnacentral:rRNA from 1 species